CUUUAAUCUUCUUUGGGUCUGCCU
rnacentral:siRNA from 1 species